rnacentral:rRNA from 1 species
UUCCGGUUGAUCCUGCCGGAGGCUACCGCUAUUGGAGUUCGAUUAAGCCAUGCGAGUCGCGAGUCUUAGGGACUCGGCGUACCGCUCAGUAACACGUGGGUAACCUGCCCUAUGCUGGGGGAUAACCUCGGGAAACUGAGAAUAAUACCCCAUAGUUCACCACGCCUGGAACGGUGGGUGGAUCAAAGCUCCGGCGGCAUAGGAUGGGCCUGCGGCGUAUCAGGUUGUAGGGGGUGUAAUGUACCCUCUAGCCCUCAACGCGUACGGGUUGUGGGAGCAAUCGCCCGGAGAUGGAUUCUGAGACACGAAUCCAGACCCUACGGGGUGCAGCAGGCGCGAAAACUUCACACUGCAGGAAACUGUGAUGAGGGAAUUCCAAGUGGCCAGACAAAGUCUGGUCUUUUACCAACUUUUAAUCGGUUGGUGAAUAAGGGGUGGGAAAGACCGGUGCCAGCCGCCGCGGUAAUACCGGCACCUCAAGUGGUCGUCGCUUUUAUUGGGCCUAAAACGUCCGUCGCCUGUUUGGUACAUUCGUGGGUAAAUCAAGCCGCUUAACGGCUUGAAUUCUGCGAGGACGGCCAGACUAGGGACCGGGAGAGGUAUGGGGUACUCUCAGGGUAGGGGUAAAAUCCAGUCAUCCUGAGGGGACCACCUGUUGCGAAGGCGCCAUACUAGAACGGAUCCGACGGUCAGGGACGAAGCCUAGGGGCACGAACCGGAUUAGAUACCCGGGUAGUCCUAGGUGUAAACGCUGUGGACUUGGUGUUGGGGAUUCUACGAGUAUCCCCAGUGCCGGAGUGAAGAUGUUAAGUCCACUGCCUGGGGAGUACGGUCGCAAGGCUGAAACUUAAAGGAAUUGGCGGGGGAGCACAGCAACGAGAGGAGCGUGCGGUUUAAUUGGAUUCAACGCCGG